CAGUGACAUAAUGCAUCUCCCUAAUUGCGCUUGCACAACACAAUUCUUUUUCUUCAUGAAAACACCAUCAAUACUAUUAGUACAAAACUUCUUGAACUGAUUCUUCGUUAGCAUUGCCUUAAUACGUUCUUCAAUGUGAUUGACCGUAUGACAACCGGUAUGUGGUGCAAAUUUAGGCAAUACUCUUGCCAUAUAUAUUUUAUCGGGA
rnacentral:lncRNA from 1 species